CAUGGAGAAGCCUGAGGUACUUAAUGAUUUUUUUGCCUCAGUUUUCAUUGGCAGCCAGGCUUCUCAUACCUCUUGUAUCCCUGGACCUCCAGGUGGGAACUGGGGAAGUAAAAUCCCCCCACUGUAAAUAAAGAGUGAGUUAGAAACUGCCUCAUGAGGCUGAAUAGGUACGAGUCUAUGGGGCCAGACAACAUGCAUCUGAAGGAACUGGCUGAUGCAGUUGCCAAGACACUCAACAUCAUAUUUGAAAAAUCACGACUGUCAGGUGAAGUCCCCAGUGACUGGAAAAAGGGAAACAUCACUCCCAUUUUUAAGAAAGGGAGAAAGGAAGACCUAGGGAACUACAAGCUGGUGAUCCUCACGUCUGUGCCUGGGAAGAUCAUGGACCAGAUCCUCUAUGAUUCUAUGAUUCUGUGACUUUGAAAUGGCAGACAUUAAUCAAACUUAAAAAUGGCUUACUUGCUUUGUAACUACUUUCCUCCACUGUGUACAUUUCAACUGUUUUGUGAAUCUAUGUGUUAGUUCUCCUCUAUGCAAAAUUUUCUAGUUCAAACUUGACAUAUAACCUAUCAGAACAACCAUUAAUAUUGUAUUAUCAAAAAUGGCUAUAAAGAAAACUUACAGAGUUGAUAGUAGAAUUUAUAAAUAUUUUUUCAAGUGGAAAAAAUGAAUCUUAAAUACAAUCUAAACAUAGUAAGUGUUUUAUAAAGAGUAUGAAAAACUAAUACAAAAAAUAUUUUCAUUUUUAAACAAAAAAAUUUCUUUUUGACAAACAAAAAGUAUUUAAUGUACUAAAAUACAGUAUAACUGGAUGAUCAUACUGACUCCUAGUCUCAGCUAAAUAUUUUCACUGGCUUUUAGCACAGUGCUUAAAAUAAGUGAACGAUGAAACAAAAAAAUUAAGCUUAAAUCCAAACUGAUGUAUAGUGAGCGUUAGGAGCCUGUAUGUCUUUGAUCUUGUUUUAAUCCACUUUUCUCUGGUCGUCAGAUAUUUAACAUCAUGGGGCAUAUCGUCAACUUGUGUAAUUUGUUAUAGUGCUAUUGAAAGUUAAUGGAGCUGAAAUGCCAGCUGAAGGUCUGCCUCCAUAACAGUUCAGCUAAUGUACACAAAUCUGUAGAGCUAUUACAAGUCUUUUCUUCAUAAAUGCCUUUCUGAGACCUUUUUCUGCUUGCUUUUACAUUUGAUUAAUUGCAUAGGAAUUGAGGAAAGAGGGCAGCAUCUUCUAAUUGUAACUACCAUACAGACAAUUCAAAUCUAAAUUGAAGUGCAUAAAAAGGAAACGUCUCCUAUUCCUAAUCCACCAUUCAUAUUGUUCCAAUUCAUCUCAUUUUGCAGACAGUAAGAAGCCAGCUUUAACUUGUAGUGAAGUUCUGUAGUCUUAGUAAUGGGAGUUGGACAUCUUCCUAAUACCUUACAUGAGCUUACAUAGCCUUUUCAUGAGCUAGAGAGUCUGUCACUGGCCCCAGGAAUUCAAAGAGACUGAGAAUGCAAAACUUAAUUCUUAAAUUAGAGUUUUAGUCAUAUGUAAGUUGUUUCUCUGGAGGAAGCUGGUCAUGUUUAUGAAGAGGUAACUAGAAGUGUUGUCUUUUUCCUAAAAAUACUCCUGGUGUGCUAUAAGAAGACAUCAUUCCCUUAUAUCUUUUUUCUUAUAUCUUUAGAAUGUAUCUUAUAAUCAAGAAUGUUAGAUUAAAAACUUGUCUGAAUGAUAAUAAUUUGAUGGUAUCCCUCCUUACAUACCUUCCCUCUUACUUUUUGGAAAGUUUAGUCUAGUCACAAGCCAGAAGUAGAGUGUGGCUUAUGUUUGGAUCUUAAGCAUCUCAUCUCUUUUAUACAGCUUUAUUAAUGUACAAAUGUGUUAUCACUGUGACAGAUGCAUCUUUGCUGAACUUCAGGUGUGCUAUUUAAUGCAAAAGCAAUGUUCCCAUUGAGAUUAUAACUUGUUUUAGAAAUGAAUUUUUGAUCAGAUUAUAAAUAGUGAAUAAAAAUAGAGGAUUUAUUUUUUCUAUAAUGUAUCUGAAAACCAUUAAAACAUUAAUUGCAUAAAUUUAACACUAUGGUCAAAUAGAGUGAUACCAGCAAACUGCUGAGUAAACUUGUUUGGUCUGUGAUCCAUGUUCAUAAUCUUUAAAUUCAAGUGACGUUUAAGAAGGUGAAAUAGGAAAGAACUAACCUCAAGGGUUGUGUGUGUCUUGCUUCUUAGCAGCUCUCAAUAUUUUACAGAGAACUAACAUCUUGAUAAUUAAAUUGCUUCCACAUCUGUGCAUCUGUGCAGUGGUAGCAGCAGGAUGCUGUCAUGUUGCAUAUAUUUAACAAAUUAAAUUUAAUUUACUUUUAUAUUUUCAUUAUGGAAAUUGCGCUCAUAUUAUUCAACAAGAAGUACCUCCAUGUGACAAUGAGACAAGAAAAUGCAAAACCAAAACUGAUUCUGAAUACUUGCACGCUGCAUAUGAAUUGUGCAUGGAGAGAAAUAUGGGACAUGCGAUAUGACUGUUAACAUUUCAAAGAAGAUUAUUCAUCACUAUGGGAGGCAUCACUCAUAUUUGGCUUCUCCAGAUCCUUGAGAGUGAAGGUCUGCAGCUCAGAAUUCAACUAGUUGUUUUCAGCUUUUGACAGACUGCCUUUAUGAAGCAGAAUCGAAGGCCUUUAAGUGCUUGUAGUGGAUCCCUCUGAGAAAUGUAUAAUUGGUGUGGCACUGGCCCGCUGUCUUUCUUCUGCCUGUAGGGUAUUUCAAAACGUAACUCUUAGAAGGGAAGAGGUUAUGAGGCCUGAAGAACUCUCAUGUAGCCUGAAGCACCAAAUACUGCUCUCUGAUCUUCAGGGCUUUGGGAAGCAGCUGCUUCAUGUCUUUUCCUCAUCCUAAACCUCAAAAAUCCAAAAAUGCUGAGUUUAAGCGGUGAAUGGCACUAUGUCCAGGUGGAGGCCAGUGAUGAGUGGUGUCCCCCAGGGGUCUGUCUUGGGACUGGUGCUCUUCAACACCUUCAUCAAUGACAAUGAUGACGGGCUCAAGUGCACUCUCAGCAAGUUUGCUGAUGAAACCAAGCUGAGUGGUGCAGCUGACACGUUAGAUGGAAGGGAUGCCAUCCAGAGAGACCUCAACAAACUUGAAAGGCCCUGCCCAUUUCUGAGAAAGAAAUGCAGGAAAUACCAAUGAAGGUGAGAGAAGGUAGGAAGAAAACUCAGGAAUUGUGAAUUUGUAUGAAGAAUUUGUCCUCCUGUCACUCCCAUGCUACUAAAGAAGAGCAGUUGUGUUAUGAAGCUGUGUUGCUCCACGCAGCUUAGUUCAGGGCAGUAUCGGCUUCUGAAUGAACCUUUCUUUAUUCAGGGAGACUGACUUUCCUGUGUUACUUGCAAAUAACAAUAAUUUUAUCAAAAGGACUGGCAAGGUUGCUAUAGAAACAACCAGAAGAGCUCCAAACUUCAGGUAAUUCUUCAAGUUAAAAGAAGACUCAAUUUCAAAACACCUGGACUUUCCUACUUAGAGAUUUAUUGCAUUGCUUUCCCAUUGAUUUUGAGAUAACUGUGCAUUCAUUUGUUGUACAAAAGGGAAGAGCUGAAAAAACUUUAACAGUACUGAUCUUUGGAAGCAUAUCAUCGUUCCCUUUGAUAGCACAAAUCGAGUAUUACUAGCUACUGUCUGUUUAACUUGUCUUGGGUCACUGCUGUAACUCAGCAACAACAGCAGUUUGUCAUCUACUAAGAGAAAGAAUGUCUAGAUUUAACUGUACCCUAUAAGGAAUUUAAAGACAGCACUGCAUCUCAUGGAUGUAUCACAUAUAUAAUGAAUUGCGAAACUGCUGUUCUAUGUUUCAAGGUGGCUGAAGUGCCUUGUGAUUAUGCUGUAUUCUUUCAAGUCCUCUGUUUACCAGUUCAGAUCUGUCAAGCAUCUGUGCCCUCUUAAACUUCAUAGUCUUCAACUCUGUUAAACAUCCAGUACUCUGGGACAUUUUGUUAGCAACGUGAGUAACUAAAACAUGAGGUCUGAAAAUCAGAAAUAAAUGUACAGGCAUGUCUACACCUGCUACUAAUGACUGGGAUGAGGUGAAGGAGUAAAUUCCAGAAGCUAGUUCCAGGGUAAAUAUUGCCCUUCCCUUUUCAUCUGACAUUAUCUGUAUUAUUUUAAUUAUCUGCAGACAGAGAUACAACAAUUAUCAAAAUAACCUGAGAUUUUAUUUGCGUUUUCUAUAUAUAUUUUUUCAAAUAAAAUUCUGUGGAAAAAUGCUGAUGACAACUAAAAAUCAAAAAGGAUAUGACUGAUUAAUACCAAAUCUUCUCUUCAAAUGUGGUUAUUAAAAGGUUAUUAAUUAUCUACUGCUAGUACUAAUUGUCAGUUGUUGUUGUGCUAGCUACAUUCAGAUUCAUAAUAAGGUGUACUUUAAUAGUGGAGACAAGUAACUGGUGGUAGAAAUUCCUUAGGGAUAUGGUGUAUUCUCUAACACUUGAAAUCUUUAAAUCAACACUGGAUGGUAUUCAAGGAGAUACUUUAUGUAAUACAGAAAAAUUAUGAUCUUGGUGCAAAAAUUAGUAUAUGAUUUAUCUGCUGUAGAGAAGGUUAGAAUAGAUUAUCACAAUAUUUAUUUUUGAGUUUAAAUUAUAUAACCUAAAAAUAAUUAGGUGUUGUUCAUUCUUAGUUGCUGAUUAGGAUAGUCAUGGCAAGCUUCCUAGGAUUUUGCUGAAUUGAAGAAAAUACAAAGCAGAUCAGGAAUGAAUAAGAUUCAAGUUUGAGCACUGUUUUCAGAAUUUAGGUUUCUACCAUAUAACUGUAUAAUCAUGAUUUGUACUUAAAAUGCCUUGGAUUCUAAUCUUUCAUAGAAGACUAUAAAAACACAGCAACCGAGCUCUAGCAAUUACUCAUUUCAGAGACCUAAAAAUAUUAUUUCUAGUUACAUAGAUUCCUUUUUAGCUAUAAAAAGUAAAAAAAUUAUUUGUAUUCUACUUUGUCAGUGGUUUCCCACAAGAAUUUAUAGGUCAGGUCCACUAUCAGCUAAAAUUAAUUAUACCUGACAUUUCUAGUAGAGUAUUCAAAAUUGUAUAAAUUAUAUUUCUAAAGGAAAGUUCCACAGGUAUGAAAACAAACACUGAAAAGUUUACAGCAGCUGCUGGAAAGAAGGGUGAUAGGACAGCAUACCUGAUCAUGAUAUUGUCGUUAUUUUUGCAGUUUCCAAUAUAAGACCUUAUUUUAAAGGUUUAUUUUCCGAUUGUUAAAUCCAAGAUAAAAGAGACUAAGGCUUCAGACAAAAAAGAAAAACAUUAUUUUUACUUUGAGCCUGUGUGGAAAGAAGAAGGAAAGAAGAAAAAGAAUUAUUUGGGACAAUUCUGAGUUGUUAAAAAAAGCACUUUACUUAUUAUGAAGCUGCUUCAAGUUGUUUUUUGCUCCCAAAUGGAAGUAGAGCUUUCUAAAUUGGCUUGAAAAACUAUUUUUACUCUGAUAUACCUUUCUGUGCGGUUACCUUAUUUUCUUUUAUACAAAUUUAAAAGCUUUAAGAAAUUACUUGUUAGAACUGAUAACUUGUUUUACUCAAAAUAUAGAUCUAUUUUUAACAGUAGGUUAUUUCUUUUCCAUUAAAUGUUUCCAUUUUAGUUCACUUAUAUACCACAAAAAUGUCACCUGUACUUUCACUCCCCUUUGCUAAUAGACAUUUAUACAUUAGUAUAUUGUGCUGACUUAGAGAGUGUCAUGAUUUUAAUCAAAGUUCCUGCAUAGUAAAGACUAGAGAAUUUUCUUACGUAAAAUUUCCUUGAAGUAUAACUGAUGGAAAAUUCACAACAAGUGUUGAUUUUUCCUCUGCUUAAUUAUACUCACUGAUAAAAACCUCAGUUUUAUUGCUACCCUGAAAUUUGUUUGGCCUUUCAAUCUUCUUAUUCUUUUAUGUGCUAUGAUGAAGAGCCACCUGUCAUAAUUUUUCUAUUCUCUAAGUGUAUUUACAGACUUUGAUCAAGUCAUGACUUAACUGUCCUUUUGCCAAGUUAAUUUAUUUUUUAUUUAUUUUUCCAGUGUAAAUGGUGGUAGGCAAGGGUGACACAAAUGUGGAACAAGAUGGAGAGCAUAAUCACUGCUGACUUCAUACAAUAUUGUCAUCAUCAGUAAAACCAGUGGACUGUAUGAAAAUCCAGUUUUAUUCAGACAGCCAUAUUGGAAAUAUGUCAGGGAUAUUUGGCAACAUGUGGCAGAGUCAUUUCCCUUUUUGGGUGACCCAUGCAAAACCCAGACAUAGUUGAAAAUCUUGGACUCAGGAUAUCAAGGGAACUUCUUAUCUCUUAAAGCAAAUAUGCCUUAUAUGUACCAUACAUUAUUUUUCUGGACCCAGGACUAAUAUAAACCCAGAGUAAUUUCAAGACUUGACUCUGGACAUCCAUAAUGCCUAUGUAACCUGCAGCAUUGAGAAUCUAAGAAGUAUUCCCAAAAUGCUAUGAUUUUGAGAAUGAUCACAGGAUCCUCAGAGUUGGGAGGGACCUCUGAAGGCCAUGUUGUCCAACUCCCCUGCAAUGAACAGGGACACCACAGCUAGAUCAGGUUGCCCAGGGCCUGAUCCAACCUUUCCUUGAAAGUCUCCAGGGAUGGGCAUCAAGCACAUCUCUGGGCAACCUGUUCCAGUGCCUCACCACCCUCACUGUAAAAGACUUUUUCUUUAUAUCCUUCUUUAUGCUUGAAAAAAGCUUAAAGAUAAAUGCAAAAGAAUGCAUUUAUCUGUGACUGAUGAUGUCAUAUAAAAGUAGAUGGGAUAUAUGAUCACAGAGGUCGUGCUUGUUCCAGCCAAGCCAAUAUGUGUAUGAAAGCUAACUAAACCUGAGUGAGUCCUUGAGGUGUUCAUUCCUUGCUCCCAUUUCAGAUGCUCUAGGCAGUUUGCCCUAUGUCCCUCUGUGGGUAGAUUUGAAAAGUGUGACCUUAGCAAAACUUUUUAUAACAGAGUGGAGAUAUCCUUUGGGUCCUAAAGGAAUAGAUGUAAUUGAAGCAUGGCCACAGUCUGCUAGAAAGUAGGACCACAGCACACAAAAAAUGUGAGCACUGGAAAGUGCCACAGUGAAUUAAACAAAUUCCAUCAAUUUGAGUAAUUUCUGAAAUGAAAUGUAUUUUUGGACUAUUGCACUAUUCAUAUCACCUUGCACUGAAAUUAUGGAAAAAGCAUAGUUCAUUUGUUGAAUGUAACUUUCUUUUUCCCUUAAAAAAUGUCUGGGUCUAUGUUAUAUUUUUAGUGCUCUAGCUUAAUAUUUUCACUAACUUAUUUUGCCCCAAGUAAUGUGAAUGUAAUUAAAAUGAACUUUCUGUUAAUAUUUUCAUCAGUCAGGCUUGAUCAGUUCAUGUUUUUUGAAUGGAAAUCAUUUAAUAAUCUGAUCAGUGAGUUGAUGGGAUAAUUCUGAACGUAAAUUAUUUACAGAAUUCCUUUUUAAUACCAGGCAAUAUGUUUAUAAAUAAUCAUAGAAUCAUAGAAUGCCCUGGGUUGAAAGGGACCUUAAGGAUAACCAAGUUCCAACCACCCUACCACGGACAGGGUUGCCACCCACUAGAUCAAGCUGCAUGGGGCUCUGUUCAACCUGGCCUUGAACAAAGAAAGCAGAAGGAGUUACUCAGACAAACCAAACUACCUAUCUAUUAGUUCAAGAAUAAACAUUUAACUCUGUUGCUCUACAAACACACACUUAUAAAUGCAGUUGUUCAUAAAAAGUGGUACAGAGAUGCACUUCAGAGUAGAGUUAUGGUCAAGACUUUUUUGAUCUUGAAAAUUCCUCAGGAGAGAAACUCACAAACUAUCCUCGCAUUCCUGGAAGAUUAGGUAGUAGAGAAAAUGGUAUCUUGUAAAAAGCUUAUCAUUUUGAUCAACACUUUUCUAAGACACCACUUCAAAAUAAGAUUAUAUAAGCUUUAAAUAGUUUUAAAAAAUCUUUUAACUUUUGUUUUUAAUUUCAAGGAAAAAAUUGGUCUCUUGCAAUUCUUACUGAUUUUCCUCAGCUAGAAAAAUUAAUGUGCAAAGCAAAUAUUUGUUAUGUUUUAGGUAACAGAAAUAUGCAUACAGUUUAACUGUGUACAUAAAAUAGGCAAAUCAGUGUCUUCAGUAACAUCUAAACAUUAAAAUUGUGUUGUAAUGAAAAGAUAUGAUUCUCUGUUUUCCAUUUCAUUAGUAAAACUAUAAUUUUAUGAUC